CAGAUAAGAGCCGCCCGGACUAGCCAAGGAGACUGCCUGUGAGACCACAGGAAGAGCAAGCAUGCACGCACAGGGCUAAGCUCGAGCUCACUCCAAGAGGCCACAGGCAAGUCAUCCUUGGCUAUCUGGACAGACUCUUAUCG
rfam:Dichanthelium oligosanthes cultivar Kellogg 1175 unplaced genomic scaffold Do_version_2_scaffold527, whole genome shotgun sequence.